UUUUACAAUUAUAGAAUGAGUGACUCCGGUCCCUUCAGAUUUGACCGCACUCACCACUUGAUGGCGCCUGUGAACAGACAAUCAUCAACGCAGGCGAGGAAAUUCAUAAAAAGUUCUAUAGAUACUGUAGUUGCCUUAGUUACUCGCAUUAGUCAAAACAGUGAAAAUGGUGUCAAAUCAACAACAAAUGUCCAUCUACUUCUCAAUGGUACCAGUCUUCACUGUAAACCUGUGACUGGCGGACUGCUAUGGACACGUAUUGCCAUCGAGCAGAAGGGUUGAAGAUUUCUACGAUUUCAUAGCGAUUAUCUCCAAGGUUAAAUGGUAGAUCAGGAUACACCUAGAGCGCUGGUGGAGCCACAUAAGCUAAUCAGCGAGUGAGGAUAUACGGUUUACGUUGUGGAUAAAUAAAGACUUUGACUGUGCGCCGUAUUUACCAACACCGCCUUUAAACUGUGAAGCAAUGCUUGUGAAGAUGGCUCACAGUAAAAGUCAAUUUAUAUCGACUUGCUAGUCGACUUCGUCAGCAUGCACAGGCUAACAUGUCCUUGAUAAGAAAACCGCAGUAGAAAGAGGAUUUUUAUCACUAUUGUUUUCUAUAUAUUUGUAAUGCUUUGUAAGGAGAUGGCGCCGAUGUACAAUCUAAUAACAUUCAGGGUGAUCUUUUCGAUUCCAUGGACACAGGCUAAAAGA